CCAAUCAGAAGCCUCGGUGAAAAUAUGUGGUGCCUUUUGACCCCUAACUCAUACGUUUGAUUAACAGAUUCUCCUGAGCCCGGUUUUAGUGGAAGGACUGUGGACUUUAAACAAGCUUACUCCUGAUUGGUUUUAUAGUAGUUGCCAUAGUAACGUUGCUUUAGACCGACUUGGACCAAUCACUGUCGUCUGGCUCCAACAUAGUGACGUCUGUAUCGCGACCUCACCACAGCUUUAUUUCGCUGGAACAAAAGAAGAAUGUGUCAGACACAGCCUAACUGAGCCGACUCGUCUCGACAAGACUCCGUCUGCUAUCAUCUGAGGGGGAUUUUUGCAAAAGCACAAAAGCGUUUCUUUAACCGAACAUGUCCCAGCUGGACGAUGGAGGAAGCAGCAACCUGUGGGGGAAACGACGAGGCCGACAGCUCCUCACAAAGAGUUCUUGUUUUACUACAAGCAACAAAAGCCUUUUUACCUGGUGUCAUUUAAACAUGCGGCUCACGUUUCUCACAAUUA